AGCUUUCUGAAUCUGUGCUGAGAUUUUACCGAACAUCAGCCUAUCAAGACCGAUGAGACUUCCAAGGUAAAUGAAGUG
rfam:Schistosoma haematobium scaffold96_16, whole genome shotgun sequence.